UGGGGAAUAUUGCACAAUGGGCGAAAGCCUGAUGCAGCAACGCCGCGUGAGUGAUGAAGGCCUUCGGGUUGUAAAGCUCUGUCUUUUGGGACGAUAAUGACGGUACCAAAGGAGGAAGCCGCGGCUAACUACGUGCCAGCAGCCGCGGUAAUACGUAGGUGGCAAGCGUUGUCCGGAUUUACUGGGCGUAAAGGAUGCGUAGGCGGGAUUUUUAAGUGAGAUGUGAAAUACCCGGGCUUAACUUGGGUGCUGCAUUUCAAACUGGGAAUCUAGAGUGCGGGAGAGGAGAAUGGAAUUCCUAGUGUAGCGGUGAAAUGCGUAGAGAUUAGGAAGAACACCAGUGGCGAAGGCGAUUCUCUGGACCGUAACUGACGCUGAGGCAUGAAAGCGUGGGUAGCAAACAGGAUUAGAUACCCUGGUAGUCCACGCCGUAAACGAUGAGUACUAGGUGUAGGAGGUAUCGACCCCUUCUGUGCCGCAGUUAACACAAUAAGUACUCCGCCUGGGAAGUACGAUCGCAAGAUUAAAACUCAAAUGAAUUGAC
rnacentral:rRNA from 1 species